AAACUCGGUGGUNUAAGAUGGACCCGCGUCUGAUUAGCUUGUUGGCGGGGUAACGGCCCACCAAGGCGACGAUCAGUAGCCGGCCUGAGAGGGCGGACGGCCACAUUGGGACUGAGACACGGCCCAGACUCCUACGGAAGGCAGCAG
rnacentral:rRNA from 1 species